GGAAGUAAAAGUCUAACAAGGUCUCCGUUGGUGAACCAGCGGAGGGAUCAUUAUCGAGUUUAUAACUCCCAAACCCUAUGUGAACUUACCACUUGUUGCUUCGGCGCGCGCUUCGGUGCCGCCGAGGACACUUAAACUCUUUGUUUUUAUAAGCAUUUCUGAGUGGCCGAAAGGCAAAAUACAAAUGAAUCAAAACUUUCAACAACGGAUCUCUUGGUUCUC
rnacentral:misc_RNA from 1 species